rnacentral:rRNA from 1 species
GUGGGGAAUCUUCCGCAAUGGGCGAAAGCCUGACGGAGCAACGCCGCGUGAGUGAUGACGGCCUUCGGGUUGUAAAACUCUGUGAUCCGGGACGAAAAGGCAGAGUGCGAAGAACAAUCUGCAUUGACGGUACCGGAAAAGCAAGCCACGGCUAACUACGUGCCAGCAGCCGCGGUAAUACGUAGGUGGCAAGCGUUGUCCGGAAUUAUUGGGCGUAAAGCGCGCGCAGGCGGCUUCCCAAGUCCCUCUUAAAAGUGCGGGGCUUAACCCCGUGAUGGGAAGGAAACUGGGAAGCUGGAGUAUCGGAGAGGAAAGUGGAAUUCCUAGUGUAGCGGUGAAAUGCGUAGAGAUUAGGAAGAACACCGGUGGCGAAGGCGACUUUCUGGACGAAAACUGACGCUGAGGCGCGAAAGCGUGGGGAGCAAACAGGAUUAGAUACCCCAGUAGUCC